ACCCCGGCCCCCCAGCCGCAAACCCCGCGCCGCAGCCGGGCCGCUGGCUCUGCCCAGGCCCCGGGGCCGGGACCGGAGCUGGGCCCCCUCCUCGGGCGGCCCGGGCCGGGGAUGCCCGGUCCCCGAGCCCCUAGUCCCCGGGCGGUCCCUAGACCCUCUUUGUUAAUGGCCGCGGAAGAAUCGGCCCCGAGGGAUGGGCCGCCUGGAGGAUGGUCAGGCCAGCCGGGGAGGGUGGACCAAGGGCCUGUCACAGGGCAUUAGCGGUGACCUGUAAGGAGGCCGCCAGGCUCUGGGGAGCCCAUUCUUUUUGGAUUAGGAACCGCUGAAUGGGCAGAGUUGUCUGAAAAGGAGGUUGGAAGGGACGCCAGCGCAUCCCUGGAAGCCUCGGGCAAGGCCGCACCUGGGCUGUCCCUGUGGGAGACAUCUGAGCCAGGUAUUAAUAAAUCCUGAUCCUGGGGAAGGAAAAGCAAGUAAUCAUACUCAUUUGCGAAGUUCAAAUGAAAUACUCCCUAUCUUCAGACCCCUUGUUUUUUAGUGGACCCGUGUCCCCAUGUGAGCCUUUGAAGUAGCAUAAACCAGCUUCAGAGGAAAGAAAAGGCCCCAGAAUACUAGAGGGUACUGCGGCCCGAGAGGAAGUGCCCUGUUCCACGGGAACCACCACUGUCUCCCCUCGUGCUGUGAGCUCCUCGAGUGCAGGGAUCCUGUUCUAGCCAUUACUUUUCUCUGGGGCACCCCACAUACGUUGGGGGAACAGGUGUGUCCGUUGCAUAUUGAUUAUAAUGAGGUCCUUGCAUGUAAAGAUGAACAGCUCACAGCACCCUCAGUAGGGGGGCGAUUUCUUUAUUCUUUUCAUAGUGUUGGGAAUUGGUGUGUUUGGUUGCAUCCAUAAUUCCUGAUCUAGUCCCCUUCCUAGCCAUUUGCCAAGAGCCAGCCCAAGUUAGGGGUGACAGGGGUCAGAGGGGAAAUGGGCCAACUCACUCUCCACCAGGCUUUGCGCUAUUCAUUAAUUAAUUCCUGCUUCAUUCAGAAAACACUGAACAUCGCAGGUACUGUGCUCACCCAUUCGUGCCUCUGUUCUGAGUGCCGUGCAGAGCAGGUAGGUGCUGUGAUUGAAUAACUUAAAAGUUUUGGAGGUGAGUUCUCUCGGGUACCUUCUCAAAGUACCCUAUAUGACUCAGGUGGUAUUGAAUUGAAUAGGGAAAUUGUCUAGUAUUCUGGAGUCCCUUCCCUGAAAACCUAAUUCUAAUCUGUCUUAAAAUCACAGACUGUUGGAAACCAAAAGGAGCUUUAGAAACUAUUUGUUGAUAGACGAGGAGUUGGGGCCUGGAAAGUGAGUGGCUUAUUUUGUGCUCACAGAGCUGGUUUAAGGUGGGGCUGGAACCAGAGCCCAGGCAUCCUGUCCUCCUUUCUGCAGCUUUUCCCUUUGGCAUAGGGCUAAGGAUGGUCUCAGAAUCUCCUGACUUCUGAGCUACUCCCAGAAGAAAGAGUAAACAAUGAAGACUAUAGCUGUCGCUUUUUUUUUUUUUAAAGAUUUUAUUUAUUUAUUUGACACAGAGAGAGACAGCCAGCGGGAGAGGGAACACAAGCAGGGGGAGUGGGAAGGGAAGAAGCAGGCUGCCAGUGGAGGAGCCUGAUGUGGGGCUCGAUCCCAGGACUCCGGGAUCAUGCCCUGAGCCGAAGGCAGAUGCUUAACAACUGAGCCACCCAGGCACCCCAAUGGCUGUCACUUCUUGAUCAUUCACUAUGUGUCAGGCACAAUUGAAGCUUUAGAUAUAUUCACUCGCUUAAUCCUCGCAAGAUGAGCCUAUGAGUCAAGUACUAUUUUGUUCCCAUCCUGCAGCUGAGACAACCAAAGCACAGACGUGCUGAGUAACUUGCCCAAGAUCACACAGCUAGGAAGUGUCCCAAGCCAAAAUUUGAACAUAGGCGGUCUGGUUCCAGAGCCCAUGCUAUUUUAUUUUUUACAUUGUUGCCAUGGAAGUAUUCAGGCAUAAACAGAAGGGAUCAAUAUAACAAACCCUGGUUUCAAUAAUGCGCUCGCUCGCUCGCUCUCUCUCUCUUUUUUUUUUUUUGCUAUUCUUCUUUCCAUCACCACCUCUUCCCUCCCAUUUUGUUUUACUCAGAGCAGAGUCUCAAGCCUUCCAUUCCCCUCUUGUCAGGUGCCCACCUGUCUCCCUUGUUCUCAGAUGCUCUGGGUGUUGGGAAGUAGCCCAGGUCUGUGGAAUGGCUGCAGCCUGGGUGGAGAGGAUGGCCUGUCUUGAGUCGAGAGAUUCAGUGGGCUCAGGUGGGGGCAGGCCCUCUGGAGGGCCCUCGAGGCUCUGGCGGACCCAGUGGAUAUUGAGCCAGGAUCUAAUUUUGACUGAUAUUCGUUCACCCCAUGUAUUUCAAGAUUUAUUUCUUACAAAUAGGAGCUCCUUCUCUUCCCUUUUCUUUUGGCAAAACACAGUAUAUUAUACCUAACAAAGUUGACGGUAAUGCUUGAUUCUCAUCUAAUACCUAGUUCAGUAUCAGAUUUCCCUGACCCCUUAAAAAUAUCUCUUUUAUAGUUGCUUUGCUUCCAUCAGGACCCAUACAAGUCCGCACUUUACGUUUGGUUGAUGAAUCUCUUAAAUUUCUUUUGAUGUAUUAUAUUUUCCUGACUUUCCCCUUAAAAAUGCCAUUUAAUUAUUAAAGAUCCUGGUUCUUUGUCAUGUAGAAUUUUCCACAUUGUGGGUUUGGCUGAUUGGCCCUCGUAGCAUGUUUUUCUCUUGCAUGUUCCUGUGACUUGGUGGUUAUAGCUGAAGACUUGAGAGAUUCAAAUUCUUUUUUUCUUUUUUUGCAAGAAAGCAUUUUGGGUGGCUCUGACUGCCAGCAGUCACUGGCCUGUCAGGCUCGGCACAUCAAACCAGCUCCCUGGAGAGGUUCCCACAUCAGACCUUGGUUAGGGGAGAAUGUAUUUAGAAUGAGUGUGUCAUGGCAAACAGGAAAAUAAUGUGCUCACAGAGCCAGAGAAUGCUAAGGGGACAUCUGGCCCAAGUCAUAUUUUUGGGUGAGGACAGUGAUUUGGUCAGGGCCGCCCAAUUAGAAGUGGCAAAAGCUAGGCACCUGACCUUUGUCUCUUGCCUCCCAGCCCAGUGUCUCCCAAGUGCCUCAGCUUUUUUCCUGUGAAAAGUUGUACGACUUUUCAGUUGCAAGAGCUAGAAACUCAGCCUAACUGACUUAAAGAGGGAGAGACAGAGAGAGAGCGAGAGUGAGAGAGAGAGAGAACUUACUGGCUUAAACUAAAAAGUUCAGGAGCAGAUUCCUUCAGGUAUAGCUGUAUCCAGGGAUGCAGAGUGUGUCUUCAGAACUCGAUCUUGCCAUCUCUCAGUUCUGCUUCCCACUGUGCUGGUUUGAUUCGUAGGCUGGCGUUCUUCGUGGGCCAGUCUGAGACUGUCCAGGCUUCCCUCAUCCUAUAGCUAGCAAUCCCAGUAGAAAAAGGUUUUCUUUACCGGUAGUUUUAACAGAAGUCUUAGAAUUGACUGUGGCUUCAGGAGGGAGGACCCCUGGAGCACUUGGAAAGGGUCUUUAGGUUGGUCCCCCAAACCACAUGGACUGUGUGUGGAGGGAAGGUUCUCCAAGAACAACUAUUUUUCUGUUCCAGAAGAGGGACCUGGAAGCUGGGCAGAUGAAAAGAAAUAUAGCAGGGGCGCCUGGGCGGCACAGCGGUUAAGCGUCUGCCUUCGGCUCAGGGCGUGCGUGAUCCCGGCGUUAUGGGAUCGAGCCCCACAUCAGGCUCCUGCAAUAAGCC